CCUACGGGAGGCAGCAGUGGGGAAUUUUGGACAAUGGGCGCAAGCCUGAUCCAGCCAUGCCGCGUGUGGGAAGAAGGCCUUCGGGUUGUAAACCACUUUUGUCAGGGAAGAAACGGCCUUUACUAAUAUUAGGGGCUAAUGACGGUACCUGAAGAAUAAGCACCGGCUAACUACGUGCCAGCAGCCGCGGUAAUACGUAGGGUGCAAGCGUUAAUCGGAAUUACUGGGCGUAAAGCGUGCGCAGGCGGCUUUGCAAGACAGAUGUGAAAUCCCCGGGCUCAACCUGGGAACUGCAUUUGUGACUGCAUGGCUAGAGUACGGUAGAGGGGGAUGGAAUUCCGCGUGUAGCAGUGAAAUGCGUAGAUAUGCGGAGGAACACCGAUGGCGAAGGCAAUCCCCUGGACCUGUACUGACGCUCAUGCACGAAAGCGUGGGGAGCAAACAGGAUUAGAUACCCUGGUAGUCCACGCCCUAAACGAUGUCAACUGGUUGUUGGACGNUUGCUGUUCAGUAACGAGCUACGCGUGAAGUUGACCGCCGUGGGGUAAGGUACGGUCCGCGAGUAGUUAACGUUAAGUAAGUUAGUUAGGCGNGNGAGAGCGACGACGACGACGAGGAGGGAGGAGG
rnacentral:rRNA from 1 species